AUUGAACGCUGGCGGCAUGCUUUACACAUGCGAGUCGAACGGCAGCGCGGGCUUCGGCCUGGCGGCGAGUGGCGAACGGGUGAGUAAUGCAUCGGAACGUGCCCAGUAGUGGGGGAUAGCCCGGCGAAAGCCGGAUUAAUACCGCAUACGACCUGAGGGUGAAAGCGGGGGACCGAAAGGCCUCGCGCUAUUGGAGCGGCCGAUGUCGGAUUAGCUAGUUGGUGGGGCAAAGGCUUACCAAGGCGACGAUCCGUAGCUGGUCUGAGAGGACGACCAGCCACACUGGGACUGAGACACGGCCCAGACUCCUACGGGAGGCAGCAGUGGGGAAUUUUGGACAAUGGGGGCAACCCUGAUCCAGCCAUGCCGCGUGCGGGAAGAAGGCCUUCGGGUUGUAAACCGCUUUUGUUCGGGAAGAAAUCCUCUGGGCUAAUACCCCGGGGGGAUGACGGUACCGGAAGAAUAAGCACCGGCUAACUACGUG
rnacentral:rRNA from 1 species